CAACUUGAGAGUUUGAUCCUGGCUCAGAACGAACGCUGGCGGCAGGCCUAACACAUGCAAGUCGAGCGAGGACUUCGGUUCUAGCGGCGGACGGGUUAGUAACGCGUGGGAACGUACCCUUUUCUACGGAAUAGCCUCGGGAAACUGAGAGUAAUACCGUAUACGCCCUUCGGGGGAAAGAUUUAUCGGAGAAGGAUCGGCCCGCGUUAGAUUAGAUAGUUGGUGGGGUAAUGGCCUACCAAGUCUACGAUCUAUAGCUGGUUUGAGAGGAUGAUCAGCAACACUGGGACUGAGACACGGCCCAGACUCCUACGGGAGGCAGCAGUGGGGAAUCUUAGACAAUGGGCGCAAGCCUGAUCUAGCCAUGCCGCGUGAGUGAUGAAGGCCUUAGGGUCGUAAAGCUCUUUCGCCUGUGAAGAUAAUGACUGUAGCAGGUAAAGAAACCCCGGCUAACUCCGUGCCAGCAGCCGCGGUAAUACGGAGGGGGUUAGCGUUGUUCGGAAUUACUGGGCGUAAAGCGCGCGUAGGCGGACAUUUAAGUCAGAGGUGAAAUCCCAGGGCUCAACCCUGGAACUGCCUUUGAUACUGGGUGUCUUGAGUUCGAGAGAGGUGAGUGGAAUUCCGAGUGUAGAGGUGAAAUUCGUAGAUAUUCGGAGGAACACCAGUGGCGAAGGCGGCUCACUGGCUCGAUACUGACGCUGAGGUGCGAAAGUGUGGGGAGCAAACAGGAUUAGAUA
rnacentral:rRNA from 1 species